UUCUUUUGCUUUUCAUUAUUUUAUUGAUAUUUUAUUGAUGUUGAGUAAUUAUGUGACCAAUGAAAUUAUCUUUUCGUCUAAAUAUUUGAGGUCAUCCCAUUAUAAAAGAUGGAUUGUAUUUUAUUAAAGUUAUUAUUUUAUAUUAAGGAUCGACACUUGGCUAAUGAAGAAAUUUUUUGUCGAUUUUCGAGGCCUGCACAAGUAAAAGAUGGAUAUUCCGUAUAUAAAUACGUGAUAAAAUAAAUAAAUUUGGGCAAUGACGAAAUUUUAUAACAAUGCAAAAGAUUUCAUAAUUUCUAUCUUGGCAAGACGAUUUAGGACGACCAAUGAAUGGAGCAAAUACUUCAUAGCCAUGACGUACCUAAAAUCUGAUUCGAGCCCACACUUUUUAACAAAAAUUAUAUCGUUUUAUACAUAUAUACUUUCUCAAUUUAUUGAUUAUUUAUUUAUUACUAACAUUUCUAUUAUGAGUGUUUGUAAAGGUUAUCGAGAAUGUUUAUCGGGAACAACAUUCAAAGAAGACUUUAAAUUGUGUAUUUAUAUUUUUUAUAUUCUUACUCUUGUACAAAUGAUAAUUAUAGUGAAAACUUUAUUUUGGAGGUGUUGAGCGGGGAUGUUCUUUAUUUAUACAAUUCUUACCACGCGUUAGACAAAUAUAGACCAUUAAUAUGUAUAUUAAAAUUGAUGUAGAUGUUUAGUCAAAUAAUUCACACUUUUUUCCAUUAAGAAAUAUUACGUAGUUU
rnacentral:lncRNA from 1 species